rnacentral:misc_RNA from 1 species
UCCGGUUUGUCACCGGCAGUCUCAUUAGAGUGCUCAACUGAAUGUAGCAACUAAUGACAAGGGUUGCGCUCGUUGCGGGACUUAACCCAACAUCUCACGACACGAGCUGACGACAGCCAUGCAGCACCUGUGUGCCAGUUCUCUUUCGAGCACCCCCACAUCUCUGCAGGGUUCUGACCAUGUCAAGGGUAGGUAAGGUUUUUCGCGUUGCAUCGAGUUAAUCCACAUCAUCCACCGCUUGUGCGGGUCCCCGUCAAUUCCUUUGAGUUUUAAUCUUGCGACCGUACUCCCCAGGCGGUCAACUUCACGCGUUAGCUGCGUUACCAAGUCAAUUAAGACCCGACAACUAGUUGACAUCGUUUAGGGCGUGGACUAC